rnacentral:rRNA from 1 species
AACGAACGCUGGCGGCAUGCCUAACACAUGCAAGUCGAACGAGACCUUCGGGUCUAGUUGCGCACGGGUGCGUAACGCGUGGGAACCUGCCCUUAGGUUCGGAAUAACUCCCCGAAAGGGGUGCUAAUACCGGAUAAUGUCUUCGGACCAAAGAUUUCUCGCCUUUGGAUGGGCCCGCGUUGGAUUAGCUAGUUGGUAGGGUAAAAGCCUACCAAGGCGACGAUCCAUAGCUGGUCUGAGAGGAUGAUCAGACACACUGGGACUGAGACACGGCCCAGACUCCUACGGGAGGCAGCAGUGGGGAAGAAUGGACAAUGGGAGAAAGCCUGAGCCAGCAAUGGCGCGUGAGGGAUGAAGGCCGGAGGGAUGGAAAGCUCUCUUACCCGGGAGGAUAAUGACAGUACCGGGAGAAUAAGCCCCGGCUAAAUCAGUG